CGUUAAGUUCUAUGAAAAAUUUAUCCGUCUUGCUAAAAA
rnacentral:rRNA from 1 species